UGUCCUUAAAUCCAGGCACCCUGUGUCCAGGAUACACCCAGGGCGUUAGACCUCCCUCACUGAAGGGCACCGCAGGAUCUCAAAAGCAGUUGUUUUGACUUGUAUGCAUUAACUCUGUCACUGAAAGACACAGGCUGUGUCAGCUCUUUACCAUUGUCUUCCAUCAAUUUGUUUAGAGGUUAAUCUUUCCUCUUGACAUAGGUAAUUUUUAAACUUCAGAGCCAAGCAGUCCCCCAGCACUGUGAUGUGCUGCAGAGGACACGGGCUGGCAUGGAGAAGAUGUGGCUCCGAAGAGAGGUGCCCAUGGGCCAGGAGAGGAGGGUGGCAUUGCCCAGGGACAGCAGAGCUGCCCGCAUGCCCCUGGGCAAGGCUGGUAGUCCUCGGUGGAGGGGUAAAAAUGCCCAGGUUCUGCUUGGAGCUGCAUUUUCACCACAGUAUUGUGCAGGGUAACAACAGAGAAGUGAUGGACCCAUUUCCCUCAGGAAUCUGCUUAAUUGGUUUUGUUAGAAAAAAAAAAGAGAACAGAGUGAUGACAGAGUAUUGUUUGCCAGUGUAGACAAGACUGAAAUAUGUUUCAAAUCAACUAACAGAGCAGCAUAGAUGCUUGUGUGGCCAGGGAAGGAGGGAAAGAAAAACAGCAGAGUCACAAUUACUGAUAGAUUUUAAUCCUUCCUGGACUCGCUAUCAGCGAGGCUCCUGCUUCUGUUUACCCAGCUGAGGAGGGUGUUUCCAUUUGCACAGAUCUCUUCCCAUUGUCAGUGAAGCAAUGACUAGACAAUGAGGCUGUUACAGAAGAAAGAUGAGCUGGCUGCAACCAACAAAUCUUGCACUCUCCAUUUACAGGGCUAUAAUUAUCAAAGUUUUAAAACACAAUGGUAUCUGCUGAAAGGGACCAUCUGGGUGAAGAGCAAGACAUCCCAAUUAAAUGAUUGAUAAGCAGCUCAUGCACUGGAGGAGCACAAUACAAGUAAUUCUAAAAAUGCCACUUGCAUUAACAAAAGUGUUUAAGGAGUUUGUACGUAAGGUGUGGGAGGGGAGAUCAAGUGCAUUUUUGUGAUUCAGAAUAACAAAGCAGAAAUAAGACCAGCCUCGAGAGCAAGGGGGAAAGCACUGGGGUGCAGUGGAGGAGCAGUACCUGUUUGUGCUUUGCAAUCUCUUGUGUGAGGCCAGUGCUGCUGACCUGAGGGUUUACAAGGAACUGUUAAUGUCAGGGAGAGGAGGAAUGAUAAACCUCUCUCCGCAUGAGGCCUUGCUAGGCAGGAAAGCAAGCUGUCUUAUCAGCCUGCAGCAGCAGACCAGCACAAGCAUGACAUUGGCACGGGUGCUGUGGUGAUGAAGAAAUCUGCACUGGAUACCUGCAUCUGCUGCAUGCUUUGUCUUUGGCCUUACCCAGAGGUUGUGUUACGAUGGGAAGUCCAACUGUCCUCUUGUUUCUGACCCUCUUGUUUAACUCACCGCUCAUCUAAUCUCUUACAGACCUCAUAGAUGAUGCCUGAUACAUUAGGACCAUCAUCUCAUUUGGUACUUCUUCAUACCACAGUAAUAGAGAAAGUGGUUUUGUCCUGUAACACCUUCUAAGAAUGCAUCGAUGCUUGUUUGCAUCUCUUCAAAGCAGUAACUUGAGCCCUAGGUUCAGGUAUGGAUAUGGGUAUGGUCAGAAGUCUGACUUAGCUGCCUACAAUAAUAGUGCAACCAGGCACAGCUGAUUUGCUUUACAACAGUUUGUCAGUGCUAGUUCAUUCUAGGCCAUCCCUGGAUUAUAAAGCUAGAUGUAGGUUUUGUGUGGUAAUCUAACCACAGUUAAGACUUAUUUUGAAUUGUUUCUUAAAUUUGCAAACUAGUCUGCUUUGUCUUUAAAAUAUUUUUUAGAAAUUAAAGGUUAUAAAAUGUUGCCUUUUAAGUUUGGGUCUCGGUUUUAGUGCUACUGUCUACCCACACCUAUUAGAUUUUAAUCCUGUCUGUGGCAUCUCUUAACAACUUUCUGUUUGGCUAUGGACUGUUCUCAUCCCCUCCACGUAUUUUAAGCUAAAUAGAUUGAACCCUAUGUAUCUUUAACAAGACUUUUUUUUUUUUUUUGAUACUGUGUUUAUUUUCUUGGUUUCUCUUUGAACCCAUCUCAAUUUAUCAGUAUAGUUACCCAUAUAUGAGCAUUCACAUGGGACUUGUCCUUCAUUCUCUGUGUCUGUAACUGGAUUUUUUUUGUCAUAUUUCAAUACAACAAUUUUGCAGGGCUGCUGAGAGGCUUAUCAUCUUUAUUUGUGCAUAAUUUUCCCUAAAACCUCCUCUUAUCUUUGAGCUUUUUGGGGUAAGUUCUGUUGUCAUCUUUUGUUGUCUAGCCUAUCUGGUGAAAGUCUAAUAGGGCUGGGAUGGGAUUCCAUAUGGAUCUCAGUAGAAACAAACCCACUCACUGAUGUUGUCUUCAUUUACUGCUGUCCAUGAGCCAUGUUUAUCUCACAUUUCGAAUGAAUCAUAAUAAUUUCAAUUGUUCUAAAUUCCUAAUGAAAAUACUGGUUUGCUGUUAAGUCUCACAGAAGCUGAAAUAUGUUAUAUUGUACCAAUACUGCUACUUUCAUAAGCCAAAAUUGUAGUCUCAUCAAAACAAUAUACUAGGUUAGUCAGACAAGGUCUGUUUCAUAAACUUGAUUGGAAUUUUUAAUUAUCUUCCCAUUUGUCUUGUUAUUAAUUCAAUCCCAUAUUGGUUUCUCCAUUAUUUUAUCCAGGCUGUCAGGAUUAUAGUUACCUGGCUCAAUUAACGUACCAUUUUCUAGCACAGGCACAGUCUUAAAUUUCUUUCUUUCCAACUUCCCACAUUGUAACAAGGCUUGAAAAUUUGCAUUGUGUUAAUAUUCUGCAAACUCUUAAUCAAAUCCCCUUUAUUCUAUCUCACCACAUAGAAGAGAGAAUUACUUUAUGUUGGAUCAGAGGGCUCUGCUGUUCCCUGAAGAUGAGAGCAUCUCUUAGGGAGGUGAUAAGUCACCUUGAACAAGAGGUCUGCCAGUGUAUGCACCUCCAGAAUCCAUGCUGCUAAAACCACCAGGAAGCAAGUUCAGGAGAUGCCAGACACCAAGAGAGCCCUCAGACCAUGACUGAACAAUAUGUUGUUCAUGGGAAGCAAGGCCAGAUGACAAUAUCAGGCAAAGAACUGGAAAUCCACAGCUGUUAGGACAGCAGUCAAAGUGUUUUUGUUUAAGUGAAAUGUGGCCUGAGCUGAAGAAGUGAAUUUGGAGCCUCAAAAUGAUGACGUUUAUGGCUCAGUCCCAUCAAGCACAACUGAAAACAAAUUAUGAAGUCCUAACCUUGAGCGCAGAAGGUAUUGUUAGCACUGCGUGAAGCUAUCCAUCUGAUGCUAACCAGCUGGGUGGUACAACACCAGAAGUGGCUGGCAUGUGGAACAGAGACCACCUCUUGGUUUUGCUGCUGAGUCACUCUGUCACUUGAGGAUUGCAACAUCCAUGUAUGCUUUACACACUUACCGUGGCUUUGGUUUUGUUUGAUUUUGUUUUCCUGAAAAGUUUAAGUGAUGGAGGUUGGAGCUUUGCUGCACAGAUACCUGAACAAGCUUUAAAGCUCCGGAGAUGGUUUUUUAAAUGUACCCAGUGCACCAUGUUAUCUUGUCUUGAGGUUUGCCUUAGCAGCAAGUACAUUAGUUGUUAUUUUCUAGCAAAUAGCACUGCAAUUGUGGCAAAGAUCAGAAUCUGGCUUUCCAGAAGAAGAAGGUUGCUGUGUUAUAAAACAAGCUGAUUUUAGGUACUCACACUCCCCUUCUCAUAUAUUCACAAACCUUUUGAACUCCUCAGAAGCUUGCAGUGAACAGGAACUUUCCUCCCUCCAUCCUUCUGUAUCUCUGUGAGUCACUAGGGUUUACUCACUGUCUUUUGUCUCAGUCUCUGGAUGUCUCAAAGCUCCAGCCUUGUUCUUCAUCUUCUUCGUCAUCAUCUCUUAGCUGCUGUCCCUUAUUCUAUGCAGUCCUUUGUUUUCCCACUGGGGUCUGCUCAGAAGCUGCAUGUAGAUGUGCUGUGCUAAGGAUGAUUUGCAGAGCUAGGUAUCACCUAAACCUUGUUGUUCCUUCUGAUGCCUUUCUGCCACACUGUUCCCCCUUGUUCUCCACAGGCCAACCAUAACACUUCUAAUACAAUUCUUUAUAUAUCCAUGCCUGUUUUGAGUUUGAUUUUACCUGCUUCAGUUAAAAAAUUUCACAUGAUUUUUUUUUUUUGGUAGUGUGAUACUUUUUAUGAAACAAUGAUGAGUCACUCAACUGUUUCUAGCAUUUUCCUUACACUGCUAAUAACCUGGACUUCCAAACUAACUCUGUCAGAGGAAAGAGUGUCUCAGUGCUGACAAAAACAGUCAAAAGGGUGACCAAUGCCUCACAUUCAGCUAUGUAACAACUUCAUCAUUCUGCAACCACGCAGGAAGGCAUAUGGAUCAAGUCAAAUUUAGAGAUCCAAAUCUGAGGAUCUGUUCACCAAAUACACUUUUGUAACUCAGAAAAAUAAUACUCCCUGGCAUCUUUGAGAGUUGGUCAAUAAGUAAGCAAUAACUGAGGUAGCAAAGCUGAAAAUUCAGAGCCUUAGAAGCACACUUUUUUUUAUCCCCUGGACAUCCUUAGGGCUGACACAAAUGCAGAACUAUAACUCCCUUAAAUAAAGGGGAAGCCUUUGGUUUCUGAAAUAAAUAGCAAGUAACAAAAUGUUCCCUGAGCCGACUCAGCUCAGGUGGCACUGGGUGCCCAUCUGGAAGGAGCUGAGCAGACAAAGGGCCAGCUGCGUCAUCUGCCUAGAGCAGGGUUAAAUGUGGGGCUUUUGGAGUAGGAGGAGGGGAGCUUCAUCCAUUAUUAAAACAUAGAUAAUAGAAACUUUAUGCCCCACUGAUCUUGCAUUAGGCAACAUGAACUGAAAGAUGAGGUCUCUGCUAAUUCAGUGCGUGGUACCCCUGGGACUGGCUCCCAUGUGAGGGGAAAGCAGACAGCGCUUGUCUCACUGUGCCUGGUGUUGAUCCCAGCCACCUAAGAGGUCAACGUUCCUUCCAGGCGAUGGCUGCCCAUAACAGCUUUGCUUCACUGAAGGAAUAAAGCUGUCAGCAAGGAGGAGAAGACAGCUGUCUACAUGAGCUGGACCAUGGCCAUGGGACGCAAAGUCAGGCAAAAUGAAGUGAUCCCUACCCUGGCCAGAACAAGUGCUUAAUGGAAAACACACCUCUGGCUCGCUCCUUCAGCGGUCACCCUAGCAGCAGCACUAUUCUCAAAAAGAAAGCAUCUCACAGGCACGCUUCUUUCUUCCCGAGGGCUGGAAAAUGCCAGAUGUGUUUGCAUUCAUUUCUUGAGGAAAGCACUAGGAUGCUGUAGGUUGCUCUUGGUAGAUAAGAAUAAGUCAGAAAACCCAGAGUUAGCCUCGCUCUUUCAUGCCUUGUAACUUGAUAUAAUAUGAGUCUUUUUCCUAUUAAAGCAUAGGCUUUGAGAAACUCUAUCCUGUGUACAGCUACAAACAAGUAGAGGAAAGAACUCUGAAUGUAAUGGAGCUAAAAACCUACGUCUGAUACAAAUAUUUGAUGUAACACAAUCUGCUAAGACCUGCUCCCUCUGAACAGAGUGUUCAAGCCCCCACCUCAGAGUUUCCCAAAUCAAAUAUAUGACUCCUGGGGACACUUUGUAAUUGGAGGGAGCUUGGGGUUCAGGGGUUUUAAAAAAUUAUUUAUUUACCCUCUCAUGCAAUGAAAGACUGACAUGCUUUCUUGAACGGAACCAUUCUGUUCUGUCCUAUGCAGGGCUAGAUAUGUUUUGGUAAUCUGUGAUUUUGGCUAAGAUCCCAAACCACUGGCAGUGCUAGUCCUUAGCAGCUGACUCUUUGUGGUAGUUUUGGAUACCAAAAACUUAAAUAAUGAAGUCCAUAUUUUUUCUUCAGUAGGAAAAAUAAAACCA